UACGUAGGGUGCGAGCGUUAAUCGGAAUUACUGGGCGUAAAGUGUGCGCAGGCGGCCGAGCAAGUCGAGUGUGAAAGCCCCGAGCUUAACUUGGGAACUGCGCUCGAAACUACUUGGCUAGAGUGUGGCAGAGGGAGGUGGAAUUCCACGUGUAGCGGGUGAAAUGCGUAGAGAUGUGGAGGAACACCGAUGGCGAAGGCAGCCUCCUGGGCCAACACUGACGCUCAUGCACGAAAGCGUGGGGAGCAAACAGG
rnacentral:rRNA from 1 species